AAACAACAAGGAUUUUUAUCUUUUCAUUUCUUACCAACUUUUCCCCCUUAGUUUCGUUAAGGGAUAAUGAUUCAGAAUUAUAGAAUCUAACAGUUAGAAGGGAUUUCUGAAGCCAUCUCUCACAGAAUAAGAAUUCCUUCUGUAUGAUCCUUGAUCAAUGAUCAUCUAUUAGCCUCUGCUGAAAGACUUCUAUGUGAAGAGGAAAGUGGUAGGUUUGAAGGCAGUCCAUUUGCCAUUUGGAUAACUAAUUAUUAGCAGGUUUUUCUUUAUAUCAAGCCUAAAGCCACACUUUGGUAACAUUUAACCAUUAUGCCUUGCUUAAUUUCCUGGGAGCAGAACAAGGUUCAUCCCCUUCCAUAUGACAUCCUUAAAAAUACUUGUACAGAGCUAAAAUAUCCUCUCAAGUCUUCUCCUUUGGGAGCCUAAAUAUUCCUAAUUCUUUCUACUAACAUUAUAAUAAUAGCCUCCAUUAGAACAGACUUCUUGAUGACUGGAGUUGUUUCCCUCUCUUCCUUGUUGUUUCCUUGUUUCCUUGUUUCCUUCCUUCCUUCCUUCCUUCCUUCCUUUCUUCUUUCCUUCAUCUCUCUUUUCUUUCUUUUCUCUUUCUUCCUUCCUUCCUUUCUACCUUCCUUCCUUCCUUUCUUCCUUCUUUUCUCUUUCUUUCUUCCUUUCUACCUUCUUUCCUUCCUUCCUUCCUUCUUUCUUUUCCUUUCUUCCUCAUCUUAGGAUCCUCAGUGACUAGGGCAGUCCCUUGCAAAUAGUAGAUGCUUUAUGAAUACUUGGCACCUAGGUGGCACAGUGGACAAGCACUAGGCCUGGAGUCAAGAAGACCUGAAUUCAAAUCUGACCUCAGAUGCUUGUUAGCUGUGUGACCCUGGGCAAGUCACUUUCCCUGGUUUGUCUCAGUUCCUAACCUAUAAAAUUGAGUUGGAGAAGGAAAUGACGAACCACUUUAGUAUCUUUGCCAAACCCCAAAUGGAGCCACUUCAGACAUGACUGAACACUAGCAGGAAUGAAUACUUGGAAAAAUAAAAAAGGUAUGAUCUCACA
rnacentral:lncRNA from 1 species